AAUGGACAUAGACCAAGGGAGCACGGAAUGUGUGUGUGAGAUGUGAAUAUGUAUGUAUGUCAGAGUGUGGUAUGAGUUAUAUGUAUAUAUAUAUAUAUAUAUAUAUAUAUAUAUAUAUAUAUGAGAGAGAGAUUGUGUGUGCCUUGCCUUUUAGAGAAAUAUUGUGCUAUAAUUUAUUGUAGAAAGCAAAAACAAUGAACAACCAUGUGAAACCAACAAAUGACACUUACCAUCUUCUCAUUAAUCAACAUACCUUGAGAUUCUUGUUGCUGUUGGUGCUUUUGCAUGUUGUACUCUUUUUAUUUGUUUUUAUGUUCAGUCUUCAUCUAUUUCAUUAAUAGGUAAGAUAAGCUUUUUCAUUUGAGGUGAAAUGUAUAAUUGCUUCAGUAACAGCCUUCUAUUUUACCUGGAUAUGACUGCCUUUUAUCAUGUUAAGAGCCAAUGUCUUUGACAUUCCUCAUCUGUCAGGUUAAAGUUUUCCUGGAACUUUCUCCAAGUCAGGUUGAAGUUUCCCCAGAAACGUUGUCCUUGUUUUUUUUCAUUGUCACUCAUAGCUCAUUGACAGAGCGGGUAGAGAAUAGUUUACUCAUUCAGCACACUGUUUAUGCAAAGGGAGGAGCAGAGCCUAUUGUCAAUUCUGUACAUGAACUACUGAUAACAAAUAAGAACACGAAUAAGCUACUGGGACUCUCAAGUUUCAGAAAAAUUUCACCGGCUCAGAUUCUGAUACAAGUUGACACAAAAUCUGCCUCAACUCAACAACCUGAUCUGUUACUGGAAUACCCACAAGCCUAUGUUGGCGUGAGGUCAUCAUGUAUGUGGAUACUACUACACCACGGUGCUGAACACCCAGAAGAACUGCUUUCUGGGAACUGUAGUCACAACACUUAUUUAGGCCAUGACACAGUCAUUACUUUUGAUGUCCUGUUUUCUCUUGAAACUUGUUUGUUAUGUAUGCCAUGCCCUGUUGUGAAUAUGUAUGGUGAGAGAGAUACCGUCCAUGCAGAGUUCAUGUACUGUUCGCAGAUUAAAAAGCAGGGGUACACGAUAUUGUACAUCAUUCCUUUCAUUCAAUUUUUGAAUUUUUAA
rnacentral:lncRNA from 1 species